rnacentral:hammerhead_ribozyme from 1 species
AUCCAGCUGACGAGUCCUAAAUAGGGCGAAACAUACAUGCUAGAU